rnacentral:rRNA from 1 species
UACGGAGGGUGCGAGCGUUAAUCGGAAUUACUGGGCGUAAAGCGUGCGUAGGCGGCUUGCCAAGCCAGAUGUGAAAGCCCCGGGCUCAACCUGGGAACGGCAUUUGGAACUGGUAGGCUAGAGUUAGGUAGAGGGGAGUGGAAUUUCAGGUGUAGCGGUGAAAUGCGUAGAUAUCUGAAGGAACACCAGUGGCGAAGGCGGCUCCCUGGACCCAAACUGACGCUGAGGUACGAAAGCGUGGGUAGCAAACAGG